GACGGAAGGUGCAAGCGUUGCUCGGAAUCACUGGGCGUAAAGGGUGCGUAGGCGGCUGUGCAAGUCUGGCGUGAAAGCCCCCGGCUCAACCGGGGAGGGUCGUCGGGGACCGCACCGCUUGAGGGCGGUAGGGGCUGGUGGAAUGCCUGGUGUAGUGGUGAAAUGCGUAGAGAUCAGGCGGAACACCCGUGGCGAAGGCGGCCAGCUGGGCCGUCCCUGACGCUGAGGCGCGAAGGCGUGGGGAGCGAACGGG
rnacentral:rRNA from 1 species